CAGCACCUCAAGUGGUCAGGAUGAUUAUUGGGCCUAAAGCAUCCGUAGCCGGCGCUGUAAGUUUUCGGUUAAAUCUGUACGCUCAACGCACAGGCUGCCGGGAAUACUGCAGCGCUAGGGAGUGGGAGAGGUAGACGGUACUCGGUAGGAAGGGGUAAAAUCCUUUGAUCUAUUGAUGACCACCUGUGGCGAAGGCGGUCUACCAGAACACGUCCGACGGUGAGGGAUGGAAGCUGGGGGAGCAAACCGGAUUAGAUACCCGAGUAGUCC
rnacentral:rRNA from 1 species